AGCAGCCGCGGUAAUUCCAGCUCCAAUAGCGUAUAUUAAAGUUGUUGCAGUUAAAAAGCUCGUAGUUGAAUUUCGGGGUUCUACCGUUGGUCGGGCAAUAGUCUGUACUGGCGUGUGGAAUUUCUACCUUCUGGGGAACCAUCAUGCUAUUUAUUUAGCGUGGUGGGAAACCAGGACCUUUACCUUGAAAAAAUUAGAGUGUUCAAAGCAGGCUUACGUCUGAAUACAUUAGCAUGAAAUAAUAAAAUAGGACGGUGGUCCUGUUUUGUUGGUUUCUGAAUCACCGUAAUGAUUAAUAGGGAUAGUUGGGGGCAUUAGUAUUCAAUUGUCAGAGGUGAAAUUCUUGGAUUUAUUGAAGACUAACUUCUGCGAAAGCAUUUGCCAAGGAUGUUUUCAUUAAUCAAGAACGAAAGUUAGGGGAUCGAAGACGAUCAGAUACCGUCGUAGUCUUAACCAUAAACUAUGCCGACUAGGGAUCGGACGAUGUUAAUUUUUCUUGACUCGUUCGGCGCCUUACGGG
rnacentral:rRNA from 1 species